rnacentral:ncRNA from 2 species
CAUGAUUGGAGACGCUCAGGUGCUUUAGAGCUCAAAAGGGAAUCCCGUGAAAAUCGGGAGCGGUCCCGCCGCUGUGUACGGGGACGAAAGCCGCCGAGCCACUGGAGUGAUCCGGGAAGGGGCGGCGAGUAGGGUGAUCCGGAGCCAGAACACCUGCCUGAGGCGCAAAGGGCGC